rnacentral:rRNA from 1 species
CUACGGGGGGCUGCAGCGAGGAAUAUUGCACAAUGGGGGGAACCCUGAUGCAGCAACGCCGCGUGGAGGAUGACGCAUUUCGGUGUGUAAACUCCCUUUAUAUGUCAAGAAAAUGACGGUAGCAUAUGAAUAAGCACCGGCUAACUCCGUGCCAGCAGCCGCGGUAAUACGGAGGGUGCAAGCGUUACUCGGAAUCACUGGGCGUAAAGGACGCGUAGGCGGGUUGGAAAGUCAGGUGUGAAAUCCUACAGCUUAACUGUAGAACUGCACUUGAAACUUCUAAUCUAGAGUAUGGGAGGGGGAGGUGGAAUUAGUGGUGUAGGGGUAAAAUCCGUAGAUAUCACUAGGAAUACCUAAAGCGAAGGCGAUCUCCUGGAACAUUACUGACGCUAAGGCGUGAAAGCGUGGGGAGCAAACAGGAUUAGAUACCCCCGUAGUC